UUGGAAGGAAUUGAGAAAAAAAAAAAAAAAAGCCCCGAAGCCCAACCCCAUCGCCGGGGCCCGGGGGAUGCGGGGCGGGCGCGGGGGCGGGCGCGGAGCCCGGCGGGGCCCCAGGUGAGCGGGACGGGACGGGUCCCGCACCGAGCCCGCAGCUCCCGCGCCCCCCGAGCCCCCCGAGCCCCCCGAGCCCCCCGCACCCAUGUCCCGGCCCGGCAGCCCCCGGCCGAGCCCCCCGGAGCAGCCCCGAGCAGAGCCGGUGCCGCCGCCAGAGGUGGCUGAGCCCUCGCUGCCUCCCCCGAGGCAGAUCCCAGCGCUGCCACUCGCCCGCCCCGCGGUGCCCAAGAAGGAGAAACCCCUGGAAGAUGAGAAAUCCCCAGCGGCGCUGACCAAAGCCCCCCGGGCCGAGCUCUGCGGCGCUCCCGAAGCUGUGACAUGCCAGCCCCAGGUGCGGCCACCCCCGCAGCCCCCCGGGCCCUGCACCCUGCUGCUGCCCAACGGCGCCGGGCGGGGGCCGGAGCCGGGCGGUGCCCACGGGGAGGCGGGGAACGGGAGCUGCCGAGCGCAGAAACCGCCCCGAAAGCUGCAGCCGCACCACUCCAUCCACAGCCAGGGCAGCAAGAAGGGCAAGGGCAGCUCCAAGUCGCCCUCUUCACACAUCCCCAUUGAGGCGCAGGAAGACUGCUGCGUCCACUGCAUCCUCUCCUGCCUCUUCUGCGAGUUCCUGACCCUCUGCAACAUCGUGCUGGACUGCGCCACCUGCGGCUCCUGCACCUCCGAGGACUCCUGCAUCUGCUGCUGCUGCUGCAACUCGGGCGAGUGCGCGGACUGCGACCUGCCCUGCGACAUGGACUGCGGCAUCAUCGACGCCUGCUGCGAGUCCGCCGACUGCCUGGAGAUCUGCAUGGAGUGCUGCGGGCUCUGCUUCUCCUCCUGAGGGGCCGCUCUGGGCGGGGGGGCCGCGCUGGGACCCCCAGGCUCCGGCCGGUGCCUUGGAGCUGGCGGAGGAGAGAAUCCCCCGCUGGAAUUGUCACGAGAGAAUCCCCCGCUGGAAUUGUCACGAGAGAAUCCCUCGCUGGAAUUGUCAUCCUCGGAGAGGAGCCUGCCCGGGGAGUGAAGCCAGAGGGGCUCUGACUCUGGCAGUGUCCUGUCCUGCUCUACCUCUGCCAGCACAGGGGGACAGAGCCGCCUGCCACCUGAGCCGAGAGCAGGAGUGUCCUGCAGAGCCACCACCCCAGAGCCUGGCGUUGGGGACACUGGGGACAGCCCGUCCUGCAGAGCAACCCUGGAUCCUGGCACUGGGGACACUGGGGACAGCCCGUCCUGCAGAGCCACCUCAGAACCUGGUAUUGGGGACAUUGGGGACAGCCCGUCCUGCAGAGCAAUCCCGGAUCCUGGCACUGGGGACACUGGGGACAGCCCCAUACCGCAGAGCCACCUCAGAACCUGGUCUUGGGGACAUUGGGGACAGCCCGUCCUGCAGAGCCACCCCGGCUCCUGGCGUUGGGGACAGCCCGUCCUGCAGAGCCACCUCAGAACCUGGCGUUGGGGACACUGGGGACAGCCCGUCCCGCAGAUCCACCCCGGCUCCUGGCACUGAGGUCAUUUGGGACAGCCCAUCCCGCUGCCACCCCCCAGGACAGCACUCCGGGGAGGUUACAGGGGGUGGCCCAGAGCAUCCCCCCUCCGGGGACAUCACCAAGGACACCUCCAAGGCUGGGUGACCCCCGGGCGAUGCUGGAGCCUCCCCCCGUGCGGGGGGUCGUGUCCUGCCAGCCCCCCUGCCCUCGGUGCUCAGCCAAGUGCAAUAAAUACCCGGGGAGAAACGUUUCCUGAUCUGUCACCGUGUGUCCCCCUGUGUCCCUGUGUGUCCCCAGUGUGUUCCUGUGUGUCCCUGUGUGUCUCUCUGUGUCCCCCGUGUGUCC